UCUCAGUCUAUAGAAGCUAGAUUUUCCAGUUUGUUGGGUGGGCGUGGCACAGCUUUUUCCUGGUGCUGUUGCUAUUAGAAGGAAGAAAUGAGUACUGAGUUUGCUAAGAAAUUAAUGAGCUGAGGAUUCUGUAAACUGUGCAUGUGUAAAAACGCUAUACAGUGGUAUGUCUAAUUUGCCUGUGUAAUUAUCACAAGUGUAUAUGCCAAACAAGUAAUUGUAUGUGGAAAGGACAAAUUAUGCAUCUAACAGGCAAAUUGCUCAUGCAAAUAGCCAAAGUUGCAGGUGCAGAUUAAGGCAUUUGACUGUGCACACGCGCGCACAGAACUUCAGACGCUCGGCAGUUGAGACCCGAUGUAGCAGACAGAUGAAUUUGAGCCUCUGGAAGCCAUUUUGGCGGGGCUGCUAAACGUCACUCAUCUCACAGCCGGCCCGAUGCUCUGCCGGGAGGUCUCCAGCAUUGGGCUAAACUGCGGGCGGGGCGGGGCGGGGCUGAGCUGUGCGGUGGCCUCCUGGCCGCUUGAAGGGGCUGUGGUUCCUGCAGAGCACGCAGCGGGGCCCCCGCCGCCUUCGCUAGUGCUGCUCCCGGGGCGGAGGCCGGCAGUGGCCGGAGGAUGGUGGUGGUGGUGGUAGCAGCCGCCUCAGACACCACCACCAAGUGACUGAAGCACUGAUCAAAGGGGAGAGCCUGGCUGAAGGGCAACCAGCCAGCCUGUGACUGCAGAGAACCAGCUGCUAAAAGCAUCCUGAAGCUGUCUGGGCCUGUUGUGCUGCCAACCUGCCUAUUGCACUGGCGCCAGUGGAACUCAUCCUAGAGUGGCAUCGAAAAGUCUUCUCUUGCAGAGGAAGAAAUAAGGCUACCAUCCCUAUAAAUUUUCAGCAGAGGAUCUCCAUGAAAGUUUCAGAGAGAUCUCUCAAGAGGAUAUAAAGGACAUCCCUAUUCAGGGAUCCUUUCUCUACUCAGCAACCAAUCGCCUCAUUGUGUGGUUCCAGAAGUAUUUAAUUGUGAUCAACAAGAAAAACUCUGUAGAUUACUGUAGGCCCACGACCAUCAUCAGCGAACACGAGCCCUAAAUUCAUUUCUGGGUAGGUACUUAAACUGCACCGAUCUUCACUCCAUUAUUUUCAUAUUCUGUUCACCAUAUAUCUGUGGCUCAAUUUCACUACUAUGUAUUUAAUAUAGAUUUAAAAGAAAUCAAUUUAUUGUAAAACAUUCUUGUAGUGUACCACCAUUUAUUAGAUUACCAACACUAUACACAAAUCUCAAUCAGUUGAACAUAUUUUAUUCCGUCACAACAUCUGUUUUGAUGAUAUAUGCUCAAAAGGGCCUCAUCCAAUAGCCAUAAAAGGCAAUGGGAGUCCUUCCCACGAGAUCUGGAUCAGACUCAAAGGGGAUUGAUAAAAAAAGCAAGCUUUUAUAAAGGAACGUGGAAACUACCUUCUUCAAAAUAAUUCAAGCUUUGUUAUUUAGAAUCUGUAGAUUCUAUAUUAAUCUUCAAGCAUAGGAGACAAAUAAACCAUCAAUACAGGAAAGAACUUGUCAAAUGCUUAUAUUUAAUGAACGUCUCUUUUCAGUCAUCUUCCCAAUAUUAAUUUCAAUUAAAUACAUUUUUAAAAAUUUUCAUCCAUGUUAACUAAUGUUUCCAAUGUUAAUUUAUAAAUCUCAUACAAACUUUUGAACAUGUGGCUAGCUGCAAUGACAUUUAUUUAAAAUAUAAAAAGCAAUUCUA